UAAGGAAUAUUGGUCAAUGGACGCAAGUCUGAACCAGCCAUGCCGCGUGAAGGAUGAAGGUCCUCUGGAUUGUAAACUUCUUUUAUCUGGGACGAAAACGGGAUUUUUAUCUCAAUUGACGGUACCAGAGGAAUAAGCACCGGCUAACUCCGUGCCAGCAGCCGCGGUAAUACGGAGGGUGCGAGCGUUAUCCGGAUUUACUGGGUUUCAAGGGUGCGUAGGUGGGCUUAUAAGUCAGUGGUGAAAUCUCCGAGCUUAACUUGGAAACUGCCGUUGAUACUAUAGGUCUUGAAUUAUCUGGAGGUAAGCGGAAUAUGUCAUGUAGCGGUGAAAUGCUUAGAUAUGACAUAGAACACCAAUUGCGAAGGCAGCUUACUACAUAUAAAUUGACGCUGAGGCACGAAAGCGUGGGGAUCAAACA
rnacentral:rRNA from 1 species